rnacentral:rRNA from 1 species
UACAGAGGUCUCAAGCGUUGUUCGGAUUCAUUGGGCGUGAAGGGUGCGUAGGUGGCGCCGUAAGUCAGGUGUGAAAUCUCGGGGCUCAACCCCGAAACUGCACUUGAUACUGCGGUGCUCGAGUACUGGAGAGGAGAUUGGAAUUUACGGUGUAGCAGUGAAAUGCGUAGAUAUCGUAAGGAAGACCAGUGGCGAAGGCGAAUCUCUGGACAGUUACUGACACUGAGGCACGAAGGCCAGGGGAGCAAACGGG